rnacentral:rRNA from 1 species
UACAGAGGGGGCAAGCGUUGUUCGGAAUUACUGGGCGUAAAGGGCGCGUAGGCGGCCUUCUAAGUCGAACGUGAAAUCCCCCGGCUCAACCGGGGAACUGCGUCCGAUACUGGUGGGCUCGAAUCCGGGAGAGGGAUGUGGAAUUCCAGGUGUAGCGGUGAAAUGCGUAGAUAUCUGGAGGAACACCGGUGGCGAAGGCGGCAUCCUGGACCGGUAUUGACGCUGAGGCGCGAAAGCCAGGGGAGCAAACGGG